AUUGAACGCUGGCGGCAGGCCUAACACAUGCAAGUCGGACGGUAGCACAGGGGAGCUUGCUCCUCGGGUGACGAGUGGCGGACGGGUGAGUAAUGUCUGGGGAUCUGCCCGAUAGAGGGGGAUAACCACUGGAAACGGUGGCUAAUACCGCAUAACGUCGCAAGACCAAAGAGGGGGACCUUCGGGCCUCUCACUAUCGGAUGAACCCAGAUGGGAUUAGAUAGUAGGCGGGGUAACGGCCCACCUAGGCGACGAUCCCUAGCUGGGCGGAGAGGAUGACAGGGCACACUGGAACUGAGACACGGUCGAGACUCCUACGGGAGGCAGCAGUGGGGAAUAUUGAACAAUGGGCGAAAGCCUGAUGCAGCCAUGCCGCGUGUAUGAAGAAGGCCUUCGGGUUGUAAAGUACUUUCAGCGGGGAGGAAGGCGAUGUGGUUAAUAACCGCGUCGAUUGACGUUACCCGCAGAAGAAGCACCGGCUAACUCCGUGCCAGCCGCCGCCGUAA
rnacentral:rRNA from 1 species